UACACUCCUACGGGAGGCAGCAGUGGGGAAUAUUGGACAAUGGGCGCAAGCCUGAUCCAGCCAUGCCGCGUGAGUGAUGAAGGCCCUAGGGUUGUAAAGCUCUUUCACUGGUGAAGAUAAUGACGGUAACCGGAGAAGAAGCCCCGGCUAACUUCGUGCCAGCAGCCGCGGUAAUACGAAGGGGGCUAGCGUUGUUCGGAUUUACUGGGCGUAAAGCGCACGUAGGCGGACUAUUAAGUCAGGGGUGAAAUCCCGGGGCUCAACCCCGGAACUGCCUUUGAUACUGGUAGUCUUGAGUUCGAGAGAGGUGAGUGGAAUUCCGAGUGUAGAGGUGAAAUUCGUAGAUAUUCGGAGGAACACCAGUGGCGAAGGCGGCUCACUGGCUCGAUACUGACGCUGAGGUGCGAAAGCGUGGGGAGCAAACAGGAUUAGAUACCCCAGUAGUCC
rnacentral:rRNA from 1 species